AUAACGGUCCUAAGGUAGCGAAAUUCCUUGUCAGGUAAGUUCUGACCCGCACGAAAGGUGUAACGAUCUGGGCACUGUCUCAACAACCCGCCCGGCGAAAUUGUAGUACCGGUGAAGAUGCCGGUUACCCGCGACUAGACGGAAAGACCCCAUGGAGCUUUACUGUAGCCUAAUAUUGGAUUUCGGUAUUUCACGUACAGGAUAGGUGGGAGACUGGGAAGCACAGGCGUCAGCUUGUGUGGAGUCGACCUUGGGAUACCACUCUUGGAGUGCUGGAAUUCUAACCUGCGGCUUUGAAGCAAGUCGGGGGACAUUGUUAGGUGGGCAGUUUGACUGGGGCGGUCGCCUCCUAAAGAGUAACGGAGGCGCUCAAAGGUUCGCUCUGCAUGGAUGGAAACCAUGCGUCAGAGUGUAAACGCAAAAGCGAGCCUAACUGCGAGAAUGACGGUUCGAGCAGUAACGAAAGUUGGAGUUAGUGAUCCGGCGGUAUGUGAAUGGAAAUGCCGUCGCUCAACGGAUAAAAGCUACCCUGGGGAUAACAGGCUGAUCUCCCCCAAGAGUCCACAUCGACGGGGAGGUUUGGCACCUCGAUGUCGGCUCAUCGCAUCCUGGGGCUGAAGUAGGUCCCAAGGGUUGGGCUGUUCGCCCAUUAAAGCGGUACGCGAGCUGGGUUCAGAACGUCGUGAGACAGUUCGGUCCCUAUCUGUCGUGGGCGUAGGAUAUUUGCAAGGAGCUGUCCCUAGUACGAGAGGACCGGGAUGGACGCACCUCUGGUGCACCAGUUGUCACGCCAGUGGCACAGCUGGGCAGCUAUGUGCGGAACGGAUAAACGCUGAAGGCAUCUAAGCGUGAAGCCGCCCUUAAGAUAAGAUAUCCCUUCUGUUUACAGAGUAAGACCCCUUGAAGACUACAAGGUUGAUAGGCUCAAAGUGUAAGCACGGUGACGUGUUUAGCUAGCGAGUACUAAUCGGUCGAGGGCUUAACCUU
rnacentral:rRNA from 1 species